AGUGAACGCUGGCGGUAGGCCUAACACAUGCAAGUCGAACGGCAGCACAGUAAGAGCUUGCUCUUACGGGUGGCGAAUGGCGGACGGGAGAGGAAUACAUCGGAAUCUACUUUUUCGUGGGGGAUAACGUAGGGAAACUUACGCUAAUACCGCAUACGCCCUACGGGUGAAAGCAGGGGAUCUUCUGACCUUGCGCGAUUGAAUGAGCCGAUGUCGGAUUAGCUAGUUGGCGGGGUAAAGGCCCACCAUGGCGACGAUCCGUAGCUGGUCUGAGAGGAUGAUCAGCCACACUGGAACUGAGACACGGUCCAGACUCCUACGGGAGGCAGCAGUGGGGAAUAUUGGACAAUGGGCGCAAGCCUGAUCCAGCCAUACCGCGUGGGUGAAGAAGGCCUUCGGGUUGUAAAGCCCUUUUGUUGGGAAAGAAAAGCAGCAGGUUAAUACCCCGCGGGUCUGACGGUACCCAAUGAAGAAGCACCGGCUAACUUCGUG
rnacentral:rRNA from 1 species